UCCAUUUUCCCUCUUUCAUUCUGAAUUUUUCAAUCACUUUACCGUAUACCAACUCUGCAAUCUCAAUUUUUCUUUCUAUUGCUUUCUGCCAAUCUGGUUUUCUGAAAAAUGCAGCGACAAUAAUUAAAAAAAAGGAAGAAGCGAGACGAGUUACCUCUGCUGGAAACAAGUUCAAAAUGUCACUGGGUUUGCCAGUGGCAGCUGUGGUGAGCUGUGCUGACAACACUGUUGUAGGCUAAGAAUCUUUACAUCAUAUCCGUGAAAGAAAUGAAGGAUUGCCUCAACAGAACGCAACGUGAACCCCAAAACAGACAGAAACUUACAAGAGAAAACCAGUGAACCACAAAACUGUUACUCAGCCAUGUUAGCAAGCUCCAAUGGCGGAAACCCAUGAACUACUUAUUUCUUAGAUCGGAGAGCGAUGAGGUUUUGGACAAUCAAUUUUUCGAAGAGGAUCCCUGCACAGAAACAAAAAUGAAAGGAAAAGAGAAACAUUUAGCCAAAAAUCGAGGACUAUUGAAAGAAAUGUAGAGUAACCAAAAGGAUUUGCACACCCCUGGAUUUAAGUUCAUUGUAAAGCUUCAACGAGUGAUCAAGAGCAGGUGCAUUACCCUUUUUCAUCCAUUCCUCUAGAGAUGUCACACUCA